CAAAUCACUCUCCACUGUCACUCACCCUCACCCUCACCCUCACCCUCUCUCUCACACAGAGCAAACGCUUAAGGUGACGCUCUCACUCACUGUCUCACCCUCUCAGAUCAGCACUGACUUUCUCCACUCACGCUCUCACUCACCGGCUUCUCCAUCUCAUUGUUCUCACUCUCAGUCAAUCUCACUCUCAGUCUCAGUCAGCCUUCGCCAAAAGCUUCGAUCAAGCGACAGCAACCUUUUUCUUUCUACGCGGUCUCUCAAAACUAAAGAAAAAGUAUGGCUGCUGCAAAUGCUGGACGCAUUGACUAUACACAGCCUGGACCCAUUGACGACUCAGUGUUGACACAGCAGGCGACGCAUCGGUCUGAAGCUAUUUGGAAUGGGCGGGAUCCAGGGUCCAUUACCUGC